rnacentral:rRNA from 1 species
UACGUAGGUGGCAAGCGUUGUUCGGAAUUAUUGGGCGUAAAGGGCGCGUAGGCGGCUUGUUAAGUCAGUUGUGAAAGCCCGGGGCUCAACCCCGGAGGGUCGACUGAUACUGGUGAGCUGGAGUACAGAAGAGGUAGCUGGAAUUCCCGGUGUAGCGGUGAAAUGCGUAGAUAUCUGGAGGAAUACCGGUGGCGAAGGCGGCAUCCUGGACCGGCAUUGACGCUGAACAGCGAAAGCUAGGGGAGCAAACGGG